rnacentral:lncRNA from 1 species
GGCAAGAGUCAGCGACCCGCUGGGCUCAUUCGCCCCCCUGUGCCCGCAGCCAACCUGACCGGGCAUGAGGAGAAGGUGAGCGUGGAGAACUUCGCGCUGCUCAAGGUGCUGGGCACGGGAGCCUACGGGAAGGUGUUCCUGGUGCGGAAGGCGGGUGGGCACGAUGCGGGCAAGCUCUAUGCCAUGAAGGUGCUUCGCAAGGCGGCGUUGGUGCAGCGCGCCAAGACGCAGGAGCAUACCCGCACCGAACGCUCAGUGCUGGAGCUGGUACGCCAGGCACCCUUCCUGGUCACACUGCACUACGCCUUCCAGACGGACGCCAAACUGCACCUCAUCCUGGACUAUGUGAGCGGUGGUGAGAUGUUCACUCACCUGUACCAGCGCCAGUACUUCAAGGAGGCUGAGGUGCGAGUGUACGGGGGAGAGAUUGUGCUGGCCCUAGAGCACCUGCACAAGUUGGGCAUCAUCUACAGGGACCUGAAGCUGGAGAACGUCUUACUUGACUCUGAAGGUCACAUUGUCCUCACAGACUUUGGUUU